UACGUAGGGUGCAAGCGUUGUCCGGAAUUAUUGGGCGUAAAGAGCUCGUAGGCGGUUUGUCGCGUCUGCUGUGAAAACUCGGGGCUUAACUCCGGGCCUGCAGUGGGUACGGGCAGACUAGAGUGCGGUAGGGGAGACUGGAAUUCCUGGUGUAGCGGUGAAAUGCGCAGAUAUCAGGAGGAACACCAAUUGCGAAGGCAGCUCGCUGGGACGUCACUGACGCUGAGACGCGAAAGCGUGGGGAGCAAACAGG
rnacentral:rRNA from 1 species